rnacentral:rRNA from 1 species
UGAGGAAUUUUGCGCAAUGGGGGAAACCCUGACGCAGCAACGCCGCGUGAGUGAUGAAGGCCUUCGGGUCGUAAAGCUCUGUCAAGUGGGAAGAACCUGCGAAUGGCCAAUAUCCAUUUGCACUGACGGUACCACUGAAGGAAGCACCGGCUAACUCCGUGCCAGCAGCCGCGGUAAUACGGGGGGUGCAAGCGUUACUCGGAAUCAUUGGGCGUAAAGGGCGCGUAGGCGGCCUGGUAAGUCAGAUGUGAAAGCCCGGGGCUCAACCCCGGAAGUGCAUUUGAUACUGUCAGGCUUGAGUAUGGGAGAGGGAAGUGGAAUUCCUGGUGUAGAGGUGAAAUUCGUAGAUAUCAGGAGGAACACCGGUGGCGAAGGCGACUUCCUGGACCAAUACUGACGCUGAUGCGCGAAGGCGUGGGGAGCAAACAGG